CCCUAUGGGGUGCAGCAGGCAGGAUGAGUGGCCACUCGGUCUGGAGCGGUCGUCGCAGGGCCUUCAUGUCGCAGUUCUUGGGAAGGACUCCCAACUCGUGCGCCAACUCGGCGAUGCAACGUGUGUGAUCCCGGAUCAAAGCGUUGUCGAACGCAAAGGGCCGACUCCGGACCUGUUCCGACAACCAGGCGCACACCUCGCCCAGAGCGGCAAGGUUGCGCGAGAGAAUCAAUGCUCCGUAGGCAGCUAGCAGCGCGCGUUCGCGAAUCGCGUCGUCAUCCGUGUUGAACAUUCGUCGAACCAGGGCCAGCGUGAGUUCUGGCUUCACCCAGAGCAGAGCGGUCGCGGCCCGCGACGCCCAGUCCUUGAUCCGUCGGUCUGCCGCCGCUGUGAACCAAAGCAGGACGGUCGUCCAACGCUCAGCCGCCUGGGCGUCCAUUUUGUUCAAGGAGGGC
rnacentral:rRNA from 1 species